CUGCUGCCUCCCGUAGGAGUUUGGACCGUGUCUCAGUUCCAAUGUGGGGGGCCUUCCUCUCAGAACCCCUACUGAUCGUCGCCCCGGUGGGCCGUUACCCCGCCGGCAAGCUAAUCAGACGCAUCCCCAUCCUUUACCGGCCGAAGCCUUUGGUCAUGAAAAUAUGCAUCAACAUGACAACAUACGGUAUUAAUCCGCCUUUCGACGGGCUGUCCCAUAGUAAAGGGCAGGUUGGAUACGCGUUACUCACCCGUGCGCCGGUCGCCAU
rnacentral:rRNA from 1 species